rnacentral:lncRNA from 1 species
CAGAUGAGAGAACUGAUACUUGACUGUCCUUUACCAUAGCAAAGUCCACAGGCACAUACAUAGGCUGAAUCUGAGCACAUCUACAGGAUGAGCAAUGCCAAUACCUCAGCUUUCCAGAAGCAGGUCUUCCCAGGAUACUGCUGGCACCAUGAGUGUGAGGGCUUUGGCAGGGAAUUCAGUGCAGUUCACUGCAAACAAGAGCAA